GACGAACGCUGGCGGCAUGCCUAAUACAUGCAAGUCGAACGCGACCAGCCGGUGCUUGCACUGGCGAAGUCGAGUGGCGAACGGGUGAGUAACACGUGAGAAACCUACCCUGGAGUGGGGAAUAACUCGAAGAAAUUCGAGCUAAUACCGCAUACCUUCUUACCGUCGAAUGGUGGUUUGAAGAAAGAUUUAUCGCUCUGGGAGGGUCUCGCGGCCUAUCAGCUAGUUGGUGAGGUAACGGCUCACCAAGGCAUCGACGGGUAGCUGGUCUGAGAGGACGAUCAGCCACACUGGAACUGAGACACGGUCCAGACUCCUACGGGAGGCAGCAGUAGGGAAUCUUGCGCAAUGGGCGAAAGCCUGACGCAGCAAUGCCGCGUGCGGGACGAAAGGCCCUAGGGUCGUAAACCGCUUUCAGUAGGGACGAAAAAUGACGGUACCUGCAGAAGAAGCUCCGGGCCAACUACGUGCCAGCAGCCGCGGUAA
rnacentral:rRNA from 1 species